UUAGCAAUGAAAGGCUGUAAAGUCUCUGUCAUGCAGUGGGUCCACAUACUUAUCCUGUGGGGCACAGUUUACUGGCCUUAUACUACUGCCCAGCCGACACUGACUCAGCCAUCCACAAUGUCAGCAUCUGUGGGUCAGACACACAAACUGUCCUGUGUCCUCACCACUGGGUAUGACUUUGAUAGUGCUUACGCUGUGUGGCACCAGCAGAAACCUGGUAAUGCCCCACGGUAUCUGGCACACUGUGAUAACAGCAAUAACGUCAAAGGCUCUGAUGUCCCUGAUCGAUUCAAAUGUUCCCUGGAAUCAGCCACUCUCAGCCAUCUGACCAUCUCUGGUGUCCAGGCAGAUGAUGAAGCUGAUUAUUACUGUGCAUUCUGGGAUAAGACCAACAAGCUAUACACAGUGCUUCAGUGAGAUGGGGAAAUGAAACAAAAACCUACAGUCUUUUUCCAGGCUCAUGUGUA